GCCGAAAAUAAAACUCCUUGAAGGUAGAUUCGCGGGACCAAUCAGCCGCCCGGAGUAGGUCCUCCAACCUGCAUCCUUUGGAGAAUGCUUUAGUCGCCAUGGCUCCCCUGACCGAGUGUGCUCCAUACACAGAAGUGUCGAUGCCUGCUAAUUUCAUAACCCACUUGACCCAACGAGACAAGGUGACUGUUGAAACAGGGUGAUAUGGAU